rnacentral:rRNA from 1 species
UACGGGGGGGGCAAGCGUUGUUCGGAAUUACUGGGCGUAAAGGGCGUGUAGGCGGCCAACUAAGUCCGACGUGAAAUCCCCAGGCUUAACCUGGGAACUGCGUCGGAUACUGGAUGGCUUGAAUCCGGGAGAGGGAUGCAGAAUUCCAAGUGUAGCGGUGAAAUGCGUAGAUAUCUGGAGGAAUACCGGUGGCGAAGGCGGCAUCCUGGACCGGCAUUGACGCUGAAGCGCGAAAGCUAGGGGAGCAAACGGG